rnacentral:rRNA from 1 species
AGCAGCCGCGGUAAUUCCAGCUCCAAUAGCGUAUAUUAAAGUUGUUGCAGUUAAAAAGCUCGUAGUUGAAUUUCGGGGUCUGUCCGUCGGUCGGGCUUUACGGUCCGUACUGGUGUGAUGGGUUCCUACCUUCUGAAUAACCGGCAUGCCAUUCAGUUGGUGCGCCGGGGAAGCAGAGCUAUUACCUUAGAAAAAAUUAGAGUGACUUAAAGCAGGCUAGUGCUUGAAUAGAUUAGCAU